rnacentral:rRNA from 1 species
AGGAGGUUGGCUCAGAAGCAGCCACCCUUGAAAGAGUGCGUAACAGCUCACUGGUCUAGUGGUUCCGCGCCGACAAUGUAGCGGGGCUCAAGCACACCACCGAAGACGCGGCAGUAGCUUUGCUACUGGGUAGGAGAGCGUCCCAUGCGGGGCGAAGCGGCGGCGCAAGCCCGCCGUGGACCGCAUGGGAGUGAGAAUGCAGACAUGAGUAGCGAAAGACGGGUGAAGAUCCCGUCCGCUGGACGACCAAGGGUUCCAGGGCCACGUUCAUCGUCCCUGGGUGAGUCGGGUCCUAAGGCGAGGCCGACAGGCGUAGUCGAAUGGAUGAACGGGUCGAUAUUCCCGUACCGGCAUGCAACCGACAAAACCGAAUCCGCGAGUACUAACCUCCGGGUCCGGGCUUACGUCUCCUUCGGGAGCCGGAUGCCCUGGCCUGUUGGGACCGUAACGGUAGUAGGUCAGCGCGGGAGUGACGCAGAAGGGUAGCCGGCCGCGGAGGUGGUCUUCCGUGGUCAAGCACGCAGCCCGUCCCACAGGCAAAUCCGUGGGGCGCGUGGGCGAGGUGCGAUGAUGGGCGCCGCAGGGCGCGAUAUCCGGUGAUCCCGGCUGCCGAGAAAAGCUUCGGCGUGAGGCGGCGUGCCGCCCGUACCCCAAACCGACACUGGUGGUCAGGUAGAGAAUACCAAAGCGAUCGAGCGAAUCCUGGUCAAGGAACUCGGCAAAUCACUCCCGUUCCUUCGGUUUAAGGGAGACCCCCGAUGGUGAAGCGGCUUGCCCGUGGAGCUUUUGGGGGUGGCACAGACCAGGGGGUAGCGACUGUUUACCAAAAACACAGGAGCGUGCGAAGGCGCAAGCCGCUGUAUACGCUCUGACGCCUGCCCGGUGCCGGAAGGUUAAGAGGAUCCGUCAGGCUUCGGCCGAAGCGGUGAAUUCAAGCCCCGGUAAACGGCGGUGGUAACUAUAACCAUCCUAAGGUAGCGAAAUUCCUUGUCGGGUAAGUUCCGACCUGCACGAAUGGCGUAACGACUUCCCCACUGUCUCGACCAGGAGCUCGGCGAAAUUGCAGUACGAGUAAAGAUGCUCGUUAAGCGCAGAAGGACGAAAAGACCCCGGGACCUUUACUAUACCUUGGUAUUGGCAUUCGGUGUGGAUUGUGUAGCAUAGGCGGAAGGCUUCGAAGCCACGGCGCCAGCCGCGGUGGAGCCGCAAGGUGAAAUACCGCUCUGUUCGCAUUGGAUGUCUAACCUCGACCAGUCAUCCUGGUCAGGGACAGUGCCUGGCGGGUAGUUUAACUGGGGCGGUUGCCUCCCAAAGAGUAACGGAGGCGCUCAAAGGUUCCCUCAGCCCGGUUGGCAAUCGGGUGGCGAGUGUAAGUGCACAAGGGAGCUUGACUGCGAGACUGACGGGUCGAGCAGGGACGAAAGUCGGAACUAGUGAUCCGGUGCCGGUGUACGGACGCGGCAUCGCUCAACGGAUAAAAGGUACCCCGGGGAUAACAGGCUGAUCAUUCCCAAGAGUCCAUAUCGACGGGAUGGUUUGGCACCUCGAUGUCGGCUCGUCGCAUCCUGGGGCUGGAGCAGGUCCCAAGGGUUCGGCUGUUCGCCGAUUAAAGCGGCACGCGAGCUGGGUUCAGAACGUCGUGAGACAGUUUGGUCUCUAUCCUCUGCGCUCGUCGGAAUGUUGAGGAGGCCUGCCCAUAGUACGAGAGGACCUGGGUGGACGAACCUCUGGUAUGCCGGUUGUCACG